CACGGUUUUUGUUAAUCAAAUACGGAGCGAAAUGUAUAUAUGCAGUAGUUGGAACGUUUAAGAUAAAUUGGAAUUAAAAGUGCGCAGCUGAGGGAUUGAAGCCGAGACUCAUUGAUUCGGUAAAAGGUCGGCCAACCAACUGUGCUAGCGGGCAUUUUUUUAUUAAAGAAGGAGAAAUAUUCUAGUUAAGCAUUAGUUAAUGAUUAGGGAGUAAAUAGGAAGAAAAAUGGUUGUAGCCGAGACUUGAACCCGUGAGUUGCGCCUUAAGCAAAACGCAGCCAACCAACUGUGCCAGCUGCUGUUGUUAAUUAAGGAAAGAAUGGAUUGUAUUUAAGGUAUAGUAAUUAAUAAAAAUCUUAGUUAAAAGAAGAGGUUUAAGUUUUUCCCGAACCCUAAAUUUUUUCUCACCCGAACCUCUCCUUCUCUCUCGCGAACUGCGGCGGCGACUUCGCUGUUCGGGCGAAAAGGGCGACGGAGCUAGGCUUUUUCCGGCCGGUCUUCACCCGUGUGCGACCACCAUCGUUGAGGAGAGUUUGUGAGCAUGAAGAAGAGCCGAAAUCCAAGCUAUCCGAAACCCUAGCAGCAUUAGAAGCUCCUCCUUUUCGGUUGUAAGUCCAAGAACAGCGAUAUAAAGGUAAAGAUAAAGAAAAAGCUAAAGUAUGAAAGGAAGGUGACAAGGAGCUGAUGGAGGUGUGAUGUGUGAACUAUGGAAGCCUUGGGACUAAGUUUUAGAAAUCUAUAAAGACUUGUAUUUAGACUAUUGGAGUUUUUGCCACCCUGUGAUGAUUUGGUUUAGCUUCUUAGAUGUUUUAUGUUUUAUAUUUAUUAGAACUGCGUGGUUGUUUGUUUAAUAUGAUUGUUAUAUAUGUAUCCAUGAUUAUUGUCACCGGUA